rnacentral:rRNA from 1 species
AGAACGAACGCGUGGCGGCGUGGAUAAGACAUGCAAGUCGAGCGGGAACUUUCGCUGUAGCAAUACAGUGAAAGUUCUAGCGGCGAACGGGUGCGUAACACGUGGACAAUCUGCCUUAAAGUGGGGGAUAGCUCGGCGAAAGCCGAAUUAAUACCGCAUGUGAUGAGAGACGACAUCGUCUUGAAAUCAAAGCCGGGCAACCUGGCGCUUUUUGAGGAGUCCGCGGCCAUCAGCUAGUUGGUGAGGUAACGGCCCACCAAGGCUAUGACGGGUAGCUGGUCUGAGAGGACGACCAGUCACACUGG